GCCUCCAUAGCUCAGUAGGUAGAGCGUCCGGCUGUUAACCGGUGUGUCCUAGGUUCGAGUCCUAGUGGAGGCGCCA
rnacentral:tRNA from 1 species